rnacentral:rRNA from 1 species
GACGAACGCUGGCGGCGUGCUUAACACAUGCAAGUCGAACGGAAAGGCCCUGCUUUUGUGGGGUGCUCGAGUGGCGAAAGGGUGAGUAACACGUGAGUAACCUGCCCUUGACUUUGGGAUAACUUCAGGAAACUGGGGCUAAUACCGGAUAGGAGCUCCUGCUGCAUGGUGGGGGUUGGAAAGUUUCGGCGGUUGGGGAUGGACUCGCGGCUUAUCAGCUUGUUGGUGGGGUAGUGGCUUACCAAGGCUUUGACGGGUAGCCGGCCUGAGAGGGUGACCGGCCACAUUGGGACUGUGAUACGGCCCAGACUCCUACGGGAGGCAGCAGUGGGGAAUAUUGCACAAUGGGCGGAAGCCUGAUGUAGCAACGCCGCGUGCGGGAUGACGGCUUUCGGGUGGUAAACCGCUUUCGCCUGUGACGAAGCGUGAGUGACGGUAAUGGGUAAAGAAGCACCGGCUAACUACGU